UAUGUCUGGUUUCCCUUCAGCAUUCGAGUUAAUCUUUCGCCUUUUACUAAAGAUUACCGUGGAGAGGAACAUUACAAUGAGCCUAUACGAAAUUUUUGGAAUUCCGCCUAAUGGUGGGGU